CCGCCGACGCUACUCUCUGCGGCCAGCUGCGUGCUCUCCAGCCGGCGAGGACGCACCCCCCUCCGCAUCUCCCUCAUUUACUUCAGCCUGCGCACCACCGAGGCCACUCCACACCGCCGCAGCUACGCUCGAGCUCUCUCUCCGCUGCGCUCGCUCGGCCUCCACCUGCAGAGGCUCUCACCACCGCCACGGGCUCGAGCAGCCUCCGCCGUGAGGUUCUCUCCGUGUUGCUACGCGCUCGAGCACCCUCCGCCGCCAGGUGCUCUCUCCUAUCCUGCUUAUCCCCCUCCCCCGUCGCUCACCACACCACCCUAUACGCACAGGUGGUCCUGUCAUCGCCGUCCACACCCUGCCAACGGCUGCCCUUUUCUUCUGCGCCCAAGCUCAGCCAUCGCCCCUAUGUCACGCCGGCCAAGAAGGUAUGCUCCGAGAUGCCUCUUGCCAGAUCUGGGUUAUAGUCCCUCUAAAGGCAUGGCUUUGGCUACCUCUGCUAUUAGGCCUAUAUUAUGUGUGGAUUUGGAAGCUAUUUCUACAUCUACUAUGUGAUUUGAGAAGAAAACUGUGGCCCCAUGCCUUGCUAUCAUGAUGCUUGACUGUAUGCCACGCCCAUCGACAUGCGAUGCAUAUCUGCUGGGAUUUUGAAUUGAAUAGGUGUGAAAUAUCUGGUAGCUAUAUGGAUCCAUUGGCUCUAAAAACUGUCGCCCCAAUGUCUACAAUUUGGGGUCAUGUAGGUGAGGCGUCACUCCUUCAUCAGGUUAUAUGUCAACCUGAAAAUCAUCUAGGCUACAGGAUAGUUCCCCAAGAGCCCUAAUUGCAAGUGCAUACUGUAACUAUAUAAGCAAGGCAUGAUUAGAAAAUUAUUUGCAAAAGUGAGGCUGCACAUGCUUGCAAUUACUUAUUUCGAGCUCGAGCUUUUAGUUUAUAAUGAUGUGACCACAUGCUUGUGUUUCUUUUCAUGUUUAUUAAUCUGACGGAACUAUAUGAUGCUAAUGAUGGGUGCAGUACUUUAACCUGAAGAGCAUCUUAU